rnacentral:lncRNA from 1 species
CUGUAAUUAAGUGAUUGUCGUAUAUUGCUGUGUCACAUUUUUUCACAUUAUUUUUUUUUUUCCGCAUUAAAUAGGCCAUUAGUUUUAUCGUUGUCAUUUCAGGGCCUUGUAUAGCUGACUAUGCUGUAUGGGCUUUGCUCAUUGUUUAAGGCCGUACGGUGACCAAUAGUUGUUAAUUUCUUUGUCAUUUGGUCUCUUUUUUAAAUUUUAUAUUGAAAUGUUUGUGGUUUACAAC